rnacentral:tRNA from 1 species
GGUGGGUUGGCCGAGCGGCUUAAGGCAACGGAUUGCUAAUCCGUCGGGGUCAAAAGCCCCACAGAGGUUCGAAUCCUCUACCCACCG